UUUCAAGCUUCGUCAGACCACAGAGAUCGAAAAUGGCGGGUGCUGGUGGCGGAAAGGUCUCCUUCAAAGUGACCCUCACCUCGGACCCUAAGCUCCCUUUCAAAGUGUUUAGUGUUCCAGAGGCCGCGCCAUUCACCGCUGUCCUUAAAUUUGCCGCUGAAGAAUUUAAGGUGCCAUCAUCACCAAUGAUGGCGUUGGAAUCAACCCUCAGCAAAGUGCUGGCAAUGUCUUCCUCAAGCACGGCUCUGAACUACGCCUGAUUCCUCGUGAUAGAGUCGGAGCUGCUGGAUCUAUGAGAAUGUAAACUACAAUACUCGCCUUAGUCAACUGGCUCCACACUUUUUUUUAUCACAUUACUGCAAUUGAUGAGAUGAGAACCAAUGUCUGCUUAUCCUUUCGAUUUCACUAGAAUCAAUAAAACAUAAAAAGUGUUUCGUCCCAUUGUUACAGGAUCCGAAUGAAGAAUUGCUAAUUAAUGAAAGGUCCUCUACAUCCCGGAUGAAACUUGAGAGUAUACUACUUCUAUGAAUAGCUCUUUAACGCUGCAUCUGAGAAAGCAAACGUCGAGAAAGAAAGCUUGAAUGAUCAAUGUCUGGACUGGAGAGCUUGAUUUGAAGCCGAAGUUGGAGAAGCAAGUGCAGAAAGCCAUAAGAAACUCGCAAAACUCUGUUUCCUCUUCCUGCCGAUUUCAGACAUUCUUAACAUUGGCAACAGAGCUCGAAAUGCUCUGCCCCAUCAAAACCCACCUUCCGCCGCUUGUCCAUGCUACACCACCGUCAUAUUCUUGUACACUACAAGAAACUUCGAUAAUCCUACAGUUCGAGCUCCUAUGCAGAUACCAAAUUUAGCGCACAGUAACGUAGCUGAAGCUAACCCCACAUUUCUCAUCAAGACGUACGAACAUGCCUGCAGAAGGAUAGUAUAAUUCCCACGUUUUUGUUACUCAUGUUUACGAACUGCAUAGCGAAGGAAUUGCGCCAUUGCGCGCAAGUUAGAGCUUUCAGGCGAGGCAAUUCCCUUCAUGCUUACUUGAGGAAAUUUGGGUGUUUGAACGAUGUGUUUAUUGCGAACAAUUUGAUUUCGAUGUACGCGGAGUUUUCGAAUUUACGAGAUGCAGAGAAGGUGUUUGAUGAAAUGUCUGACAGAAAUAUUGUUACUUGGACCACCCUGGUUUCUGCAUUUACUGAUAGUGGAAGACCUUAUGAGGCACUCCGAGUGUAUGAUGAUAUGCCGAAAUCUGAGACGGCCAAUGGGUACAUGUAUUCCGCGGUUUUGAAGGCAUGUGGGCUUGUGGGUGAUUUGGAUCGGGGUAAGUUAAUUCAAGAAAGAAUAUAUGGGGGUAAGUUGCAGGGUGAUACUAUUUUGAUGAAUUCUCUUAUGGAUAUGUAUGUGAAAUGUGGAAGCUUGAGUGAUGCGGUGAAGGUUUUUCACAAUAUUUCACGUGCGACCACAACUACUUGGAAUAUCAUUAUUUCUGGGUAUAGUAAGGCCGGUUUGAUGGUGGAGGCUGAAAAACUUUUUCAUUGUAUGCCACAGCCAAAUGUUGUGUCUUGGAACAGCAUGAUUGCUGGCUUUGCAGACAAUGGGAGUCAGCGGGCGUUGGAAUUUGUGUCCUUGAUGCACAGAAAGGGAAUUAAGCUUGAUGAUUUCACAUUUCCAUGUGCUUUAAAGAUCAGUGCGCUUCAUGGGUUAUUAGUCAUCGGGAAACAAAUUCAUUCCUAUGUCACCAAAUUGGGGCAUGGAUCUAGUUGUUUUACACUGUCUGCUCUGAUUGAUAUGUAUUCAAAUUGCAAUGGCCUGACCGAAGCAGUCAAGUUGUUUGACCAACACUCUUCCUUCAACCCUUCCAUUUCUGAGAACCUGGCACUGUGGAACUCGAUGCUCUCAGGAUAUGUUAUCAACAACUGUGACCAAGCUGCUUUGAAUUUGAUUUCAUACAUCCAUUGCUCGGGUACGAUAUUGGACUCUUACACCUUUGGUGGUGCUUUAAAGGUUUGCAUCAACUUAUUAAAUCCGAGGGUUGGUUUUCAAGUACAUGGUCUUAUUGUCACUUGUGGUUAUGAAUUGGAUUAUGUUGUUGGAAGCAUUGUUGUGGAUCUCUAUGCAAAACUAGGACGCAUCGACGAUGCAUUAGCACUGUUCCAUAGGCUUCCAAGGAAAGAUAUCAUAGCCUGGUCCGGUUUGAUCCUGGGGUGUGCUCAAAUGGGAUUGAACUGGUUAGCUUUCUCAGUGUUCAAAGAUAUGCUCGAGUUGGCUCAUGAAAUAGAUCAUUUUGUCAUUUCAACCACUCUGAAAGUCUGCUCCAAUUUAGCAUCUCUUAGAAGUGGAAAGCAGGUCCAUGCAUUCUGUGUCAAAAGUGGGUAUGAAAUGGAGGGGUUCACAAUAACAUCCCUUCUUGAUAUGUAUUCAAAAUGCGGUGAAAUUGAGGAUGCAUUAACAUUGUUUGAUUGUAUACAAGAAAAAGACAUAGUAACUUGGACUGGGAUCAUUGUAGGAUGUGGACAAAAUGGAAGGGCGGCAGAAGCUGUCAGGUUUUUUCAUGAGAUGAUUCAAUCAGGGCUAAAUCCAAAUGAAAUCACCUUUCUAGGGGUGCUUUCUGCAUGUCGAUAUGCUGGUUUGAUCGAAGAGGCACGAAACAUAUUUAAUUCCAUGAAAUCUGUAUAUGGACUAGAGCCUCAUUUAGAGCAUUAUUGCUGCAUGGUUGAUCUUCUUGCUCUAGCUGGGCUACCUGAAGAAGCUGAAAAAUUGAUAGCAAAUAUGCCGUUUGAGCCAGAUCAGACCACAUGGCGCACUUUGCUAGGGGCGUGUGGAACUCGUAACGAUACCAAGCUUAUUAACAGUGUUGCUAAUGGCCUUCUUGAAGCUACACCAGAUGACCCUUCAACGUACGUGUCACUUUCAAAUGCUUAUGCGUCGCUGGGGAUGUGGCAUAACCUAAGCAAAGCGAGGGAGGCUGCCAAAAAGGUGGGAGUCAAAAGAGCUGGGUUAAGCUGGAUUGAGGUUGCGAGUUGAAAAAAACUACUCCUGUACGGACUGCAUGGCAGGAAAAUAUCUAUUUGUAAACCUCUCUUGGAAUGAGAGUCAUCCCAUGCAAUUGGUAAAGUGAACACACAUGAAAAGGAGUGGCCGCUCUUGCUACCAAAGUUCAAAGAGACUCCACCUUUAUGUCUAUGAGUGGAGGAGGAAUAUUCAAGUGACAUAAAGUGAUGAUGCUAAACAACUAAUCAUGACAUCGGUCCCAGAGAGGAAAGACGCCCAGAAGCAGCCUUCAGACAUGAACCCACCAAGUCAAUUCAAACCCUAAAGUCGAGCGGGACAGAAUGGAUUAUUCCAAAAACGAACAAAAUGGUUUCUGGGCCCUGGCAAGAUCCGAAGGGCCUACUGUACCCACAGUACUUCGUACUUACAGCUGAAUAUGCCUCUAACAACUGCCCAAGACGGCGGCUUCUCUGCCUUCUGCGCCUUUGGUUUCUGGUUUUCAUG